CAAUAGCGUAUAUUAAAGUUGUUGCGGUUAAAAAGCUCGUAGUUGGAUUUCUGGUGGGAGCGGCCGGUCCGCCGCAAGGUGUGUACUUGGUUGUCUCCUGUCAUCCUUGUGGGAACUGCUCUGGCAUUCAGUUGUCGGGGUUGGGGAACACAUCGUUUACUGUGAAAAAUUAGAGUGUUCAAAGCAGGCCGUCGCAUUGAAUACAUUAGCAUGGAAUAAUGGAAUAGGACUUUGGUCUUAUUUUGUUGGUUUCUAAGGCCGAGGUAAUGAUUAAUAGGGAUAGUUGGGGGCGUUUAUAUUCCGUUGUCAGAGGUGAAAUUCUUGGAUUUACGGAAGAUAAACUACUGCGAAAGCAUUCUCCAAGGAUGUUUUCAUUAAUCAAGAACGAAAGUUAGGGGAUCGAAGACGAUCAGAUACCAU
rnacentral:rRNA from 1 species